GAUGAACGCUAGCGGCAGGCUUAAUACAUGCAAGUCGAGGGGCAGCGCAGUGUAGCAAUACAUGGGCGGCGACCGGCAAACGGGUGCGGAACACGUACGCAACCUACCCAAAACUGAUGAAUAGCCCUCCGAAAGGAGGAUUAAUACAUCGUAACAUAAUGAAGUGGCAUCACUUUAUUAUUAUAGCUCCGGCGGUUUUGGAUGGGCGUGCGCCUGAUUAGAUAGUUGGCGGGGUAACGGCCCACCAAGUCUGCGAUCAGUAACUGGUGUGAGAGCACGACCAGUCACACGGGCACUGAGACACGGGCCCGACUCCUACGGGAGGCAGCAGUAAGGAAUAUUGGUCAAUGGACGCAAGUCUGAACCAGCCACGCCGCGUGAAGGAUGAAGGUCCUCUGGAUUGUAAACUUCUUUUAUAUGGGACGAAACCUCUUUUUCUAAAGAGACUGACGGUACCAUAAGAAUAAGCACCGGCUAACUCCGUGCCAGCAGCCGCGGUAAUACGGAGGGUGCAAGCGUUAUCCGG
rnacentral:rRNA from 1 species